CGCAGCUGGACGGGUAGCUCGCUCCCCCGGCGCGGCUGGACGGCGCGCACCGGCCCGGUGUGGGGGGGGUCGGGAGGUGAUACUCCCCUGGGAUGAGGUCGGGAGUGCAGAGAGCUGGAGGAGAGGGCGGUGUCCCGCGCCGCGUUAGACGGAGGCAGAGACCGGCGGGACCCACUGCAGCUGCAGCAGAGGGGAAGGCGUGCUCAGGGUCACUUUCCCCCACAUCAUAUCUACAUGAGCACCCCCCCACCAGCAGCUCCAGCUGGCCCCACACCACCUGAAAUGGGAGCAGAGGGACAGCGCUCGUCUCACCCCAAAUGCCUCUCUGGUCCGGGUCCCGCUGGCCCAGCAGCACACUCAAUCUUGGAUUCACAGCCCGUGCUGUCCAGCCCCAGACAAAUGACAUGUUUGUUGGCACAACGUCAGGGCCAGCCAGAAUUAUGCUGCAGAACGGGGAUGGGAUGGCACUGCCCCUGCAGAGCACAGCCUGCUGCCAUACACACAGCGCUCACGUUCGCAUUGCAAGGUGGCACCCUCAGAUCAAACAAUCCAACUACACGUGUCCAGCCCAGCACAGCUGCUUCUGAUCCCAUUCUCUUUGUAUCCCGAUAACAUGCAGAUGGCCUUUGUGUGUUGUUCUGUUUAUUUAAAUGGAUUGGGAACAAACAUUUUUUUAAAAGCUGAAGCUUUGAGCCUGUAAGUGGGUUACCAGAUUAUACGCCGUCUCCAUUUUAAUUACAUUUGGCUCAUUUUGUUUAUUGCAUACAUUUUCAAGAAUUAUGCUCGUCAUGAGAAUUGGAAGCACUUUGCUUUAGCACUUUACCUGCCCUAUAAAGGGACCCAACAUCACACACAAGAGACCACGCACACCUUUCUGUCUCUAAGAGCACUCUCCUUCCAG
ensembl:lncRNA